GGGGGGGGGGGGGACUGGGGAGCUAAUUGGAUACCUGAAUACCUAGAGAGAAAGAUACAUCUGAGAGACUACGUUAAAUGCUUGUCACUUGACCAGCCAGUCUCAUAGAUGUAUGUCACAAAAACAUUCAAAAUGUCACUUUAUUGAGAGGUUCAUUGGAAUAAAUGUCAUUGUUUCUUAAGGUUGUUAACAAUGAUUUGUGAGCUUAAGUCAGUACUGUUAUAGAUUUGGAAGAUAGAAGCCCAGUCAGUGUAUGCAAUAUGAAGAAUAACUGUGAAUCAGAGAGAUAGAUGUUUAAUCUCAGACA